rnacentral:rRNA from 1 species
GUGGCAGCCGCCGCGGUAAAACCAGCACCUCAAGUGGUCAGGAGGAUUAUUGGGCCUAAAGCAUCCGUAGCCGGCUAUGUUAGUUCUCGGUUAAAUCCAUGUGCUCAACACAUGGGCUGCCGAGAAUACUGCAUAGCUAGGGAGUGGGAGAGGUAGACGGUACUCGGUAGGAAGGGGUAAAAUCCUUUGAUCUAUCGAUGACCACCAGUGGCGAAGGCGGUCUACCAGAACACGUCCGACGGUGAGGGAUGAAAGCUGGGGGAGCAAACCGGAUUAGAUACCCGGGUAGUCCCAGCUGUAAACUAUGCAAACUCAGUGAUGCAUUGGCUUGUGGCCAGUGCAGUGCCGCAGAGAAGUCGUUAAGUUUGCCGCCUGGGAAGUACGUACGCAAGUAUGAAACUUAAAGGAAUUGGCGGGGGAGCACCACAAGGGGUGAAGCCUGCGGUUCAAUUGGAGUCAACGCCAGAAAUCUUACCCGGAGAGACAGCAGAAUGAAGGUCAAGCUGAAGACUUUACCAGACAAGCUGAGAAGUGGUGCAUGGCCGUCGCCAGCUCGUGCCGUGAGGUGUCCUGUUAAGUCAGGUAACGAGCGAGAUCCCUGCCUCUAGUUGCCACCAUUGCUCUCAGGAGUAGUGGGGCGAAUUAGCGGGACUGCCGCAGUUAAUGCGGAGGAAGGAGGGGGCCACGGCAGGUCAGUAUGCCCUGAAACUCUGGGGCCACACGCGGGCUGCAAUGGUAGUUACAGUGAGUUCCGAAUCCGAAAGGAGGAGGUAAUCUUCAAACGCUACCACAGUUAUGAUUGAGGGCUGCAACUCGCCCUCAUGAAUAUGGAAUCCCUAGUAACUGCGUGUCAUUACCGCGCGGUGAAUACGUCCCUGCUCCU